UAAAGUCAGACAUGCCAAGGUGAUGACAGUGAAUUAAAGGGGAAAUUGCAACAUAAAGCCCUGGUCUAGAGGGAGAGAGGAACAGGACUUCAUAUCUAGAAAUGGCUGAGGCCUGAAAUCUAAGUGGGGUACCUUGAAGGAUACCUCAAAGGAGUUCAAGCAGGGAUGGCCAACGUGAGGCUCGCAAGUCGCAAGCAAAAAGUUGCAGCUCCUGAAGGAACCGGGAUGGAAUCUGGAACUGCUCAGCCGCACCAGCUGCACAUGCAGGGCGCACCACCCCGCCCGGGACAUCCUCCCACACCUGAGGUCUCAGCAGAUCCACCACAACAUUGAAAGAAACAAGCUUAACUCAUAGGUGUUGGGACCAGCCUAGCAGAAGAGUUUCAUGAACACACUGGAGCAGAGGCAGCAGUGAUAAAGUAAAUUCCCUCCAGCUGCCCAGCUACAAUCUGGCAGUAAAAGAGUGAAUUUCCUCCCCCAACUACAGAAACUCCUUUGCCUCACUACAGUGAUUAAAAUAAACCAGCAGCCACACAACCACAGCUAUCAAGGCUUCUAGCAUUAACAUGUGAUGAAGAACAUUUUUUGUCUCUAGUGUGAGCACAGCAGUGAGGGGUUUUUUGUUUGUUUGUUUCAACACAGCCUCAAAAACGGAGCCAAGACAAGCCCACCUUAGGAGUGCAGAGGCCAAGUAUUAGCAUGGGGCAUAAAGAGGAAGGAGCAUUCACUAAUUCAAACCUCCUGACUCCCAUUUAUCAGGUUUGGGGCACUAUGUUGCUUGGGGCUCAAAUUUCCAAACUCAAUCCUAGGAGAAGAGAUAUUUCUGACACCAUCAGAGCAGUCAGGGAAUGAUAAUCACAUGGGCUGUGUCUAAUCACAUGGGCCAAAGUGGCCGC